CACGUAGGGCGCAAGCGUUGUCCGGAAUUAUUGGGCGUAAAGAGCUCGUAGGCGGUGUGUCGCGUCGGCCGUGAAAACCUGGGGCUUAACUCUGGGCGUGCGGUCGAUACGGGCAUCACUGGAGUUCGGCAGGGGAGACUGGAAUUCCUGGUGUAGCGGUGAAAUGCGCAGAUAUCGGGAGGAACACCAGUGGCGAAGGCGGGUCUCUGGACAGUUCCUGACGCUGAGGCACGAAGGUCAGGGGAGCAAACGGGG
rnacentral:rRNA from 1 species